rnacentral:rRNA from 1 species
CCUACGGGUGGCUGCAGUGGGGAAUAGUGGGCAAUGGGCGAAAGCCUGACCCAGCAACGCCGCGUGAAGGAAGAAGGCUUUCGGGUGGUAAACUUCUUUUGACAGGGAAGAGCAGAAGACGGUACCUGUCGAAUAAGCCACGGCUAACUACGUGCCAGCAGCCGCGGUAAUACGUAGGUGGCAAGCGUUGUCCGGAUUUACUGGGUGGAAAGGGCGUGUAGCCGGGCUGACAAGUCAGAUGUGAAAUCCGGGGGCUCAACCCCCGAACUUCCUUUGAAACUGGUGGUCUUGAGUAUCGGAGAGGCAGGCGGCCUUCCUCUUGUAGCUGUCAACUGCGUCGAUAUUCGGCGGAACCCCAGUGGCGAAGGCGGCCUGCUGGACGCCCACUGACGGUGCGGCGCGAAAGCGUGUGGAGCAAACAGGAUUAGAUACCCGGGUAGUC